rnacentral:rRNA from 1 species
AUUGAACGCUGGCGGCAGGCUUAACACAUGCAAGUCGAGCGGAGAGAGGUAGCUUGCUACUGAUCUUAGCGGCGGACGGGUGAGUAAUGCUUAGGAAUCUGCCUAUUAGUGGGGGACAACAUUUCGAAAGGAAUGCUAAUACCGCAUACGUCCUACGGGAGAAAGCAGGGGAUCUUCGGACCUUGCGCUAAUAGAUGAGCCUAAGUCGGAUUAGCUAGUUGGUGGGGUAAAGGCCUACCAAGGCGACGAUCUGUAGCGGGUCUGAGAGGAUGAUCCGCCACACUGGGACUGAGACACGGCCCAGACUCCUACGGGAGGCAGCAGUGGGGAAUAUUGGACAAUGGGCGCAAGCCUGAUCCAGCCAUGCGCGUGUGUGAAGAAGGCCUUAUGGUUGUAAAGCACUUUAAGCGAGGAGGAGGCUACUUUAGUUAAUACCUAGAGAUAGUGGACGUUACUCGCAGAAUAAGCACCGGCUAACUCUGUG